CUGAGAAAGUAAAACUCAAAAGACUCUUUUCUCUCUACUUUUGAAUAUAUUGAGGAGGAUGGGAGGUGGUGGUAAUAUGAGCAGUAAAAUAGAAGAAAAGAAAAAUGAUG